rnacentral:rRNA from 1 species
GAUGAACGCUGGCGGCGUGCCUAAUACAUGCAAGUCGAGCGAAUGGAUUAAGAGCUUGCUCUUAUGAAGUUAGCGGCGGACGGGUGAGUAACACGUGGGUAACCUGCCCAUAAGACUGGGAUAACUCCGGGAAACCGGGGCUAAUACCGGAUAACAUUUUGAACCGCAUGGUUCGAAAUUGAAAGGCGGCUUCGGCUGUCACUUAUGGAUGGACCCGCGUCGCAUUAGCUAGUUGGUGAGGUAACGGCUCACCAAGGCAACGAUGCGUAGCCGACCUGAGAGGGUGAUCGGCGACACUGGGACUGAGACACGGCCCAGACUCCUACGGGAGGCAGCAGUAGGGAAUCUUCCGCAAUGGACGAAAGUCUGACGGAGCAACGCCGCGUGAGUGAUGAAGGCUUUCGGGUCGUAAAACUCUGUUGUUAGGGAAGAACAAGUGCUAGUUGAAUAAGCUGGCACCUUGACGGUACCUAACCAGAAAGCCACGGCUAACUACGUGCCUGCAGCCGCAGUAA